rnacentral:tRNA from 1 species
GAAAAAUUAGUUAAUAAAUAACAUUUGGUUGUGAGCCAGCAGUAGCUGCGAUCGUCUUAGUUACGCGCAGUAUUUUUCA